UGGGAUUGCUGGAUCAAAUGGGAGUUCUAUGUUUAGUUUUCUGAGGAAUCUCCCCAUACUGUUUUCCACAGUGGUUGCACCUAUUUACAAUCCCACCAACAGUGUGCUAGGGUUCCUUUUUCUCCACCCCCUCUCCAGCACUUCUUGUUUGUAGACUUUUGGAUGGUGGCCAUUCUGGCUGGUGUAAGGUGGUACCUCAUUGUGGUUUUGAUUGGCAUUUCUCUAAUAAUGAGUGAUGUUGAACAUCUUUUCAUGUGUUUUUUGGCCAUCUACAUGUCUUCUUUGGAGAACUGUCUGUUUAGAUCUUCUGACCAUUUUUUGAUGGGGUUGUUUGUUUUUUUGGAAUGGAGCUGCAGAAGGUGUUUAUAAAUUUUGGAGGUUAAUCCCUUGUCAGUUGAAUCACUUGCAAAGAUUUUCUCCCACUCUGUGGGUUGUCUUUUUGUUUUGUUUAGGGUUUCCUUUGCUGUGCAGGAACUUUUAAGUUUGAUUAGGUCCCAUUUGUUUAUUUUUGUUUUUAUUGUCAAUACUCUUAAGAGGUGGAUUUGAGAAGAUGUAGAGCUUAUAUAUUUUAAAUGCUAAGUAUAUCUCUGUUUAUAUUUAUUCCAGAAGUAUCAUUUAUAUUAAAUAUGUGUGAAAGUUUGAUAUUAAAUUCAAUUUAAAAUACUAGUUAGAGAUGGUUAUAUUGUUGUGGCCUUUUUUUGGGGGGUGUGGAAUAAUUCUCUGGUUCAUUUUUUGCUUGAAAUCACCACAGGGAAUGUUGCUCAGAGAAAGCAAGGGAGAACAAAACACUAGAGCCAGACAAGACUGAACUGGAAUUUUGCUUCUCCUGUUUGUUAGAACAAUUGUGCAACCUCUUUAAGGGUUUCUAUCUCCUCUGUGAUAUUGCCUGAGAGGGUUUUAGGUAAAAUGGGGUGAUAUACAUAAAAUGCCUGGCAGCAUAUAGUUGCUCAGGAAAUGCUUACUGUGAAUGUCAGGCCCUUCUUUCAGAACUCAUUCUUCCAAAGUCUGUAAUCUUAAAUUGAUUUUUUGCUUUAUUACGGGGAUUGUUGUUGUAGUAUUUUUCCAUGGAGAGUAAAGAACAAACUAUUUCAGUGAUUAAGAAAUAGUGUUUAUUAAUAAAAUAAACAAGUAAUAUGUUCUCUAUAUUAUAGAAGUGUUUCAUUUCCUGAAAUACUUUAUGGAUGGUGAGUGAGGCUGGCACUAUUUAAGGAAUGUCAAUGAAUGGUUACAUGGAAGGAGAGUCUCGAAGUCCUGUAAUAAUCAUUUGUUAACAUGGAACUGUUUACAAAACGUGCCCUUAUUCCUUAUGUUUAAGCAACUCUUUUCAACUUUUAGCAUUUUAUCUGUUAAAAAUUAUGAAAUAAGAUUAAUUUUUAAAGGUAUAUUUUUAAACUGAUUAGUUCAGUUGGAUUUGUUUUGAAAAAGGACUGAAUUUUGUGGAUUUGAAUGAUAAGUCACUGACAGGAGGUCUUUAACAUUUUUUUCCCUUCGAACAGAUGUCUUGGCCUGCAGUGACUCCAGCUCCCUUAAUCCUUCCAAUUUUCCCCUUUACUAAAUAAGUUUUUAAAAAGUGACAUUUUUAUUAUGAGUGAUUGACUUAAUUCAGGCAAACAUUGCAGCUAAGGCAAGACUUCAUUCCAGUGAGGAACACUUUGGUGUGAAUAAAAUGCUAGAUUCUUUAUUUUUACUUUUAGGAAUUGAAUGCAUGGUUCCCUUUCUUUUUCUCCCACUCCCAGAUAACUGUAUUCCGGAUAUUUUUAUGUAGUAAGUUUUCUUCAAGAUUUAAAGUUUUUGUGCUCUAGUAUGUGGAGGUGUUACACUAUUUGAUACAAAUGUUUAAAUGACAGUUAAAAAGAGAAUCAGUCAGGAUCCAUCCAGAGAAGAGUAACUACAUUAGGUCUUUCAAGAGGAAAUUUAGUCCAGGAACUACCUUUAGGGUAAGUGCUGAGAAACCAAAAGGGUCUGUGAAACAAACCAGCUAUUAGCAACUCCUGGAAGCCCCUGUGAUCCCAUUAAGGCUGGAGGAAGAUGAGCCAGGGCUGUGUGGGAGGAUUAGUGCCAUGGUUGGAGCUGUAGAUGGGGGCUGGGACAGCAGAGGGCAGGGCUCUUGGGGGAGAUCUGAGUAUGAGAGACAAAGCUUCUGCCAAACGUGUUAGGAAGGAGAGAGAGUGGAGGAGAAAUACUCCAGAUUCUCACUCUCUUGCGUUCUAGUUCUGAUACUGUUGCCGGAACUUGGCCUCUGCUCACUGGUACCAAAUAGAAACUCAGAGACAGAGUUUGGGGUGAAGGAGAAAAAAUAGCUUUAUUGCUUUGCCAGGCAAAGGAGGGUCACAGCAGGCUAAUGUCUUAAAGACUGUGCCUCCUCUUAGAGACUGGAGGUGGUUUUAUAGUUUGGGGAGUGAAAAAUAGGGAUGCACAAUCAGGGUAGAGGCAAGCUUUGGUAUGUUUUCAAAGCUGGUGUUCAGUGGUCUAGUGGUGUUCUUUCCAGAAUAAAGAAUGCUUCAUUAACAUCUUCCAUUUUGUUGGGGAGUUUACUUCUGUAGAAGAAAUUAAAGAUACUGUUAUCCAUAUUCUUUGAGGAGGGACCAAGACCCUUCCCCCAAAGCUGCACUAUUGUUUCUUGAUUGCUCCUCUCUGGUCUCUGCAUCCCCUCCCUUCUCUGAUUAGCAUCUGUUUGAACCUGCUCUUUGGAACCUGGGGAAGGUCAUGGAGGCUGAAGUUUAUUCCCUAAAAAUAAGAAAUGCAGGACCCAGAAAGGCUUGUGUACCUAGGAGUCACACAGGGCAUUAGCUUGGUUACAGUUCGCAUCAGUGCCUCUCCAUUGGCCAAAACUUCCUGGAAGCUAGCAGUUAAGGUUGCCUGGGAAAUUGUUUCCUGUGAUACAGAGCAGCACAGGGUAAGGCUGGGUGGUGAUCUGAAAGCAUUUAGUUGACUAGCUCAACAACCAUGUUGCUAGUGUGUAAUAGCAUUAGCUAUUGGGAAGACUUGGCUAACCGCCCCCCCCACCAAAAAAAAACCCUGGAGUAAACCAAGCCCUCCCACCCCCGGCUUUUUAGCAGUGGAAAGAAAGAAUUCCUUUAAGACUUAUACUGAGAACACAUUUUGUUUCAGUUAAAAUACUUGAGUGGCACUGUAUUAAGUUAAUGAGCUACAAAGUUGAAAACACUUGGUUCUUGGUUUUGUGGCACAGUCUACAAAAAAGAUUUUAUUUUAUUUUAUUUCUUUUUAGGGCCACACCCCCGGCAAAUUAACAUUCCCAUGCUAGGGGUCGAAUCAGAGCUGCUGCCACUACUGGCCUAUAUGGCGGCGGCCAGAUCCAAGCUGCGUCUUUGGUUUACACCAAAGCUUGAGGCAACGCCGGAUCUGUAACCCACUGAGCAGGGCUAGGGAUCUAACCCACAUCCUCAUGGAUACUAGUCGGGUUUGUUACUGCUGAGCCACAAUGGGAACUCCCGAGAUUUUCUUUUUAAAGGAUGCUUUUUAUUUUAAACUUUCAGUAGAAUGUGUGAUAAGUUAGAGGUGGGGGCAUAGUUUUGUGGGAACUCAAGGGAGAAACUGUUCAUUCGGUCUUGUGGUCUGUGGAAUGCUUUCAGGAGUUGGGAAACUUCAAUUGAGCUUUAAAGGGUUGUUCAGCACCGAUUGUUGAGAGAUGGGAGGGAUGCUGCUGGUAAGAAGGAGAAGCUUGAGCAAAGGCUCAAAAGCCUGAAAGCUUAAAGCAUGUGAGAGAAACUUCAGUCACUGCUGCUGAGCAUCAAGUUGGGCUCAUAAAAUGAGCCUGGAGAGCCAAGGGGAGACCAGGUUCUUUUUAUUCUCAAGCUGAUACAGAGCUCUUGAAGGUGGAGUGUAGUGGCCUGAUUAACUCUGUGUCAGCUGUGCUUUCUCCUAAGUGUGGAAGAUGAGCUCAGGAGGGUGCUGUGUAGAGGGAGGAGGACUGUUAAGAGGACGUUACAGGUCAGGCUGUAGAAGAGGGAUGGACAUAAAUGUUCCAAUUGUCUUUGUAUCUUAGAGUCAUUUAUUUCAUCAAAGUGCCUUCUAGUGCUGUGCUUCUCAAUUCAUCUCUCACUUUGGUAUAUUCUUUUAUGUUAUUCGAAAAUUCAAAAUAGAAAUGGACAAAAUGCUGUUUUAUUUUCAAAUUGCAUAUACCUCCCUGGAUAUUCUGUUACUGUUUCUCCUGAGACUCCUAGGGCUGGAAACAGGAGUAAGUCACAGACUCUGCUCUUUGAGAGCAGGCAUGGGAACUACCCGCUGAUCAUGACCUGGACUACUCUGGUAUGCUGGCAGGGUGCUUUGCUCUCCUGGAGCCAGGCAGUAGUUUCCUGUUGAAAUUUCCUUGAGAAAAAUUUCCUAUAUUUCCUAAUGUAGCUUCUGAUAUUGAAGAGUGACAGAUUUGCAGUGUGACAUUUAAUUUUAGUAAAUAUAUCUUUUAGAAUAUCAAAAUCCUGCAUUUGAAUAAGAUCUACUUUACACAUUGAUUUUAAUGUAUAUUCUCUAAUUUAUUCUGAUAAUAAAUGUGAGAUAGGUGUUAUUAAUGCUAUUUUCUUUCUUCACACAUUCGAGUCUAUAUUGUCUUACUCAAACUUGAGUAGGAUUUCUACAGAUCAGAUAAGCAAGAUGGAAAUUUUGUCCUCAAGAAGCCUGUAAUUUUGUAGGGGUCAACAGACAUUAAGUCAUAGAACAAAGCCUAAGAAAUUAGUUAAAUAGAAAUGCAAAUACUGUAUUGAGGGAAUUUAGAGGAAAAUUUAUUUUUCUGUGGCUGUAUUUUACUGUGGCUAGGCUUGUAUUUUUUUCCACGUUUUAACAUUCCUUAAAUUGGCAUAUACUUACACUUUGAUGACAGACUUAACAAAAAAGUAUACUUUGAGAGCAGCAUAAAGACACAUAGGUCUUGGAAGGUGAGGAAUUUAGUUAAGUGGAGAGAGUUCUAAGAGUAAGCUCCUGGGUGAGAAGGCCUUGAAAUGCUAAGGGAAUGGUGAGUGCUUUUGGAAGGCUGAUGUUUAGGGCUCACGAAUGACAUAACAAGAAGUGACUCCAGGUGGAUUAGAUCCACUUUAGAGAGAGGAUUUUGAAAAUGAAGGUGUGGAGAGGUGGCGUUUUAUUCUGCAGUGAGUACAAGCUCCUGAAGGGUUUGGGGAAGGGACUGGCAUGAUAUAAUAUUAUUUGGUGAAUUUCUUGGCCUGUAUUUGGGAAUAUAAUGCUGUAUUGGAAAGAAGAGGAAUUGAAGGAAGGGAAGUUGUGUUUUGAAAUACAAGGAUCCUCCACUUUUUAAAGUUGGCAUUAUGCCACUUAGAUUUUCUUGCUGUUUUCGGUAAGCAAAAGAAAUAUGAAGAGGAUUUUUGUUUUUAUGAAAAAAGGAAAAAAGUGAAAAUAGUGGUCAGCCUUUGUUUUACAGGGAGCUAGCUGUUAGAGGCAGCUCACUCGAGCAGCGGGAGUGCCCUGCCAGGCUUCUUCAUUGGAACCACACUCAGCAUCUCAGCAUCAAGCCUCCAUGGCUUUGAACUCCGUCUCCGAGCAUCUGUGCUUUAUCUCGAUUUAUUUUCUGCACCCCUUAGCAAGAUGUGUCCAGAGGAAAUUGCUUUUUUGCUUUAUGCUCUUUCAGCUUACAAAAGCUUUCAUGGGAAUGGUCUGCUUUUGGAUAGUGGGGGAAAUGCGUAGCUUUCUUAAUUUCUUUUUUGGGUCAUUCAUUGCAGGUAUAUGGGAACACAACUGAUAUUUGUGUGUCGAUCUUGUACCCUGCAACUUUGCUGAAAUUGUUUAUUAGUUUUAGUGGCUUUCUUUUGGUUUCCUUGGGAUGUUUAAAGUAUGUAUAGGAUCAUUUCAUUUGUGAAUAGAAAUAGUUUUACUUCUUCUUUUCCAGAUGGGAUGCCUUUUAUUUCUUAUUUUCUUAUCUAAUUGCUCUGGCUAGCUAGAACUUCCAGUACAUGGUUGAAUUGAAGUGGUAGAGUGAGAAUCCCAGUCUUUUUCCUGAUCUUAGGGGUAAAGAGUGAUCUUUCCUAUGGAGUAUGUUGUCAGCUGUGGAUUUUUUUGUAGGUCCUCUUUAUCAUGUUGAGGAAAUUCCCCUUGGCCUUCUGGUUUUCUAAGUAUUAUUAGCAUGGAAGAGUAGUUUGGAUGAUGUUAAAUGCAUUUCCUGCAUUGGUUGAUUAUUUUUUUUCCCAUCUUCAUUUUGUUCGUCUGAUUUGCAUGGACUGAUUUGCUUAUGUUGAAUCAUCCUUGAAUUCCUGGGAUAAGUCUCACUUAGUAAUAGUGUAUAAUCCUUUUAAUAUAUUGCUAAGUUUGGUGUGCUAGAACUUUGUUGAGGAUUUUUGCAUUUAUAUUCACAAGGGGUAUUAGUCUUUAGUUUUCUUUUCAUGUGAUGCCUUUGACCUUGGUAUCAGGUAAUAAUGUUGGCUUCAUAGAAUGAGUUAGGAAGUACUCUCUCCUCUACUUUAUAAAAAAAAUUUUUAUAUUUUUUGC
rnacentral:lncRNA from 1 species